GAGUUUGAUCCUGGCUCAGGAUGAACGCUGACAGAAUGCUUAACACAUGCAAGUCUACUCGAGAAGGUUCUUCGGAACUUGAUUGGGUGGCGGACGGGUGAGUAACGCGUGAAGAACUUGCCUUAUAGAUCGGACAACUACUGGAAACGGUAGCUAAUACCGGAUACUAUAUUUUCUAGGCAUCUGGGAGAUAUGAAAGCUAUAUGCGCUAUAAGAGAGCUUCGCGUCCCAUUAGCUAGUUGGUAGUGUAAUGGACUACCAAGGUGACGAUGGGUAGCCGGCCUGAGAGGGUGUACGGCCACAAGGGGACUGAGACACGGCCCUUACCCCUACGGGAGGCAGCAGUGGGGAAUAUUGGACAAUGGGCCACAAGCCUGAUCCAGCAAUUCUGUGUGAAUGAUGAAGGCUUUAGGGCCGUAAAGUUCUUUCGGCAGGCAAUAAGAAAGUGACGGCACCUGCAUAAGAAGCGACGGCUAAUCACGUGCCAGCAGCCGCGGUAAUACGUAAGUCGCAAGCGUUAUCCGGAUUUACUGGGCGUAAAGGGCAUCUAGGCGGUUUAACAAGUCAGAGGUGAAAAGUCAGGGCUCAACCUUGGCCUGGCCUUUGAACCUGUUAGGCUAGAGUACGGAAGAGGAGGGCGGAACUCCAAGUGUACCGGUGGAAUGCGUAGAUAUUUGUAGGAAUGCCGAUGAUGAAGAUAGCCCUGCUGGGGCGAUCCUGCUGAGUAAGUUCCUGGGUCAGGAAGUUCUCUGUGAUUAGAUACCCUGGUAGUC
rnacentral:rRNA from 1 species